rnacentral:lncRNA from 1 species
UGGACUGCUCUCGCAUUGCCUUCUCCAUCUCAUGCUCCCUUGCCAUUGCCGCCUUCUUGUACAUUUCCUUGUCAUACCGGGCACCCAUCGCUUCCAUUCUAGUAUCUUCGUUCUUCUGUUUCUGAUUGUAAUACUCCCGGAUACAGGCUUGAUGUAAAUUGUACAUAGCGGUCAUGUAGUCAGAAGCAGCAGCCACCAUCACAUCGUGCUCCACACGAGAGGUGUUCUUCAAGGCUUUAAUCCUCCGCUUCCAUACCCCGUCAUCUUGAUGCUUGAUUGGAUAGAAUCGAGCAGAGCUCGACCCUAUUUCCACCUUAUGAUUCUCACACAGCUCAGUAAG